rnacentral:rRNA from 1 species
AUUGAACGCUGGCGGCAGGCCUAACACAUGCAAGUCGAGCGGAUGAAGGGAGCUUGCUCCUGGAUUCAGCGGCGGACGGGUGAGUAAUGCCUAGGAAUCUGCCUGGUAGUGGGGGAUAACGUCCGGAAACGGGCGCUAAUACCGCAUACGUCCUGCGGGAGAAAGUGGGGGAUCUUCGGACCUCACGCUAUCAGAUGAGCCUAGGUCGGAUUAGCUAGUUGGUGGGGUAAAGGCCUACCAAGGCGACGAUCCGUAACUGGUCUGAGAGGAUGAUCAGUCACACUGGAACUGAGACACGGUCCAGACUCCUACGGGAGGCAGCAGUGGGGAAUAUUGGACAAUGGGCGGAAGCCUGAUCCAGCCAAGCCGCGUGUGUGAAGAAGGUCUUCGGAUUGUAAAGCACUUUAAGUUGGGAGGAAGAGCAGUAAGUUAAUACCUUGCUGUUUUGACGUUACCAACAGAAUAAGCACCGGCUAACUUCGUG